rnacentral:rRNA from 1 species
AGUGAACGCUGGCGGUAGGCCUAACACAUGCAAGUCGAACGGCAGCACAGUAAUAGCUUGCUCUUACGGGUGGCGAGUGGCGGACGGGUGAGGAAUACAUCGGAAUCUACUUUUUCGUGGGGGAUAACGUAGGGAUACUUACGCUAAUACCGCAUACGACCUACGGGUGAAAGCAGGGGAUCUUCCGACCUUGCGCGAUUGAAUGAGCCGAUGUCGGAUUAGCUAGUUGGCGGGGUAAAGGCCCACCAAGGCGACGAUCCGUAGCUGGUCUGAGAGGACGAUCAGCCACACUGGGACUGAGACACGGUCCAGACUCCUACGGGAGGCAGCAGUGGGGAAUAUUGGACAAUGGGGGCAAGCCUGAUCCAGCCAUACCGCGUGCGUGAAGAAGGCCUUCGGGUUGUAAAGCCCUUUUGUUGGGAAAGAAAAGCAGCAGGUUAAUACCCCGCUGUUAUGACGGUACCCAAAGAAUAAGCACCGGCUAACUUCGUG